CUCUUUCCUGCUCUCUUCCCAACCUUUUCUCCCCACGUAGGACCUCUCCUGCCCAGGCCUGUCUCCUCUUUGUCUCUCCCAGCCUCCAUCCAUCUCUGUCUCCCUGUUUCUCAGUCUCUCCACCUCUGUUUUUGUCUCAUCCUCUGCCUCUCUCUCUCCUGUUUGCCUUUCUCCUCCUCCACCUGAGCUCAGUGCCCACCUCCUCUUUCUCUCUUGCAUCCCUUUUCAGUUUCCAGCUGGUUCUCUUGGUUGUCCCCUUCCCAGCUGUCCCCUGCCUCCUAAGCUUCCUUGAUGUCAACCCUUGGCCGGGCAGUUCCCACGAUCUCAUUGGUCUCACUUCUGUGUGUGGUAUCAUCUCUCUGUGGUCCCUUCCACCAGCUAUCUGCCAGGAUUGCAGGCUGCCUCAAGCCCUGGCUCUCAGCCCAGAAUGUCCUCUUACUGUUGAGGACAUUUUUGCUCUUCCUGGAACAGGGCUUGCACCUUGUUUUCCCCUCUCCCACCUAAAACAUGUAAGUUUCAUAGGGUUACAUUAUAGGUUAUACCCAAACUCAGGCAGAAAAGAAAAGCCUCCACCCAGCAACUGCACAGUUGAGGGAAGACUGCAGCACUGCUUACUUCAUUUAGACUUGAAGAGGAACUUCCAGCCAGGAGUUGGCUUUGAAAACAGGCUGUGGAGUUCCGUCUCCAGAGUGCCAGGUGGUCAAGGGGAGUUUCAAGAUUACUGCCGUCAUACUCAGAGUGACACAUGCAGAAAUACUAUCUGUUUAUUGUGCUUCAAGGAUCCAUUAGAUCAGGACUAUUGCUGGGCAAAGCCUCUUCCCGCAGCCUAGGGGUAGUAAAGGUGGGGGUAGAGGUGCUGGGGCUGGGGCCAGAAUCACACACAGUCUGCUCUGGCCUCUACCCA
rnacentral:lncRNA from 1 species